rnacentral:rRNA from 1 species
UACAGAGGGUGCAAGCGUUAAUCGGAAUUACUGGGCGUAAAGCGCGCGUAGGUGGUUCGUUAAGUUGGAUGUGAAAUCCCCCGGGCUCAACCUGGGAACUGCAUUCAAAACUGACGAGCUAGAGUAUGGUAGAGGGUGGUGGAAUUUCCUGUGUAGCGGUGAAAUGCGUAGAUAUAGGAAGGAACACCAGUGGCGAAGGCGACCACCUGGACUGAUACUGACACUGAGGUGCGAAAGCGUGGGGAGCAAACAGG